rnacentral:pre_miRNA from 2 species
GGAUAUCAUCGUAUACUGUAAGUUCAUUAUUGAGACACUACAGUAUAGAUGAUGUACU